rnacentral:lncRNA from 1 species
AACCUUAAAAUUGGAGUGAUUUUGUGAAAUUAGCCAUAUAAUUUAUAGUUUGUGUAUUUGAGAACAUCAUAAGAAGGUUGUUAUCAAUUAGGAGUGGUUUCCACCCCUAAAGGUGCAAAAUACCAAAUGAAACAUGCAUGGGGGAAGAACAAGUGGUACUGUUUUUGUCUCUCAUCCUAUCCCAUCCCAUACCCUUCUGUCUCAUUCAAGAAUAAACAAAUAUGGAACAAACAGGAGAGAUACAUCAUAAUCAUUAAUUAAGUUUGAAUCCAGGAAUGCAUAAUAAUAAUAUAGCAAAAUUGACUUGUUUAGAGCAAGGGGGGUUUAUGAUACUAUAUAGUGGAUGACCGAUGACCCCAUCCCACCCCUCAAAAAGUUGGAACUUAUCUGAAUCCAAAACAAAAACAACUUAUUUAAAGUCCAUGCAAAUUGCAGCAAACUGGGGCUGCCCUUCUAGGUGGUUUUCUCACAAACUAGGAGUCGUCUGGUUUUGAUUUGGGCCCAUAGACUUACGGCUUUUGACAUACAAACAUACAUACAUACAUACAUAUACGUACAGACGUUCAUCUUUGAGACACGUCAUGCGUUGACAUGCAUUAAUGAUAGAUCAUGGGUUUGGUUCUUAAAUCUGCAACAUCUUCCUUGUCUUGAU